rnacentral:rRNA from 1 species
CCCUUAGAUGUCCUGGGCCGCACGCGCGUUACACUGAUGCAUUCAACGAGCUUAUAACCUUGGCCGAGAGGCCUGGGCAAUCUUGUUAACGUGCAUCGUGAUAGGGAUAGAUUAUUGAAAUUAUUAAUCUUGAACGAGGAAUUCCUAGUAAACGCAGAUCAUCAAUCUGCAUUGAUUACGUCCCUGCCCUUUGUACACACUGCCCGUCGCACCUACCGAUUGGAUGGUCCGGUGAAGCCUCGGGAUUGUGGUUCUUGCCGCUUUAUUGUGGCGUGACCGCGAGAACUUGUCUAAACCUGAUCAUCUAGAGGAAGGUGAAGUCGUAACA